rnacentral:rRNA from 1 species
GACAGAGGGUGCAAACGUUGUUCGGAAUUACUGGGCGUAAAGCGCGUGUAGGCGGCUUUGCAAGUCGGGUGUGAAAUCCCACGGCUCAACCGUGGAAGUGCACUCGAAACUGCAAGGCUAGAGUCCUGGAGAGGAAGGUGGAAUGCUUGGUGUAGAGGUGAAAUGCGUAGAUAUCGAGAGGAACACCUGCGGCGAAGGCGGGUUGCUGGGCUGACACUGACGCUGAUGCGCGAAAGCUAGGGGAGCGAACGGG